UUUCCGUAGGUGAACCUGCGGAAGGAUCAUUGCAAAUCUGCGAGCGCUGGGUUGGAACCAGGGACCAUCGGUGAGGAAACGCGGUUGGGGGAACCGGCCAGCCGCGCGGUCGCACAGCACUGCUUAUAUAUGCACAGCGUGCUGGUCUCUGACCGCGGGCUUCUGUCUAAAAAUGUUUGUUUGAGACAUAUUUGAAACAAAAAUAAAAAACUUUUAACAACGGUUCUCUUUGCUGUUGCAUCGAAGAAGGCAGCAGAAGGUCGGAAGAGCCAUCG
rnacentral:misc_RNA from 1 species